rnacentral:rRNA from 1 species
AUACAACUUUCAACAAUGGAUCUCUUGGCUCCGGCAUCGAUGAAGAACGCAGCGAAAUGCGAUAACUAGUGUGAAUUGCAGAUUUCAGUGAAUCAUCGAGUCUUUGAACGCACAUUGCGCCUCUUGGUAUUCCUCGAGGCAUGCCUGUUCGAGCGUCGUUACGCCCCU